rnacentral:rRNA from 1 species
CCUACGAGCGGCAGCAGUGAGGAAUAUUGGUCAAUGGGCGCGAGCCUGAACCAGCCAAGUAGCGUGAAGGAUGACUGCCCUACGGGUUGUAAACUUCUUUUAUAAAGGAAUAAAGUGAGGCACGUGUGCCUUUUUGUAUGUACUUUAUGAAUAAGGAUCGGCUAACUCCGUGCCAGCAGCCGCGGUAAUACGGAGGAUCCGAGCGUUAUCCGGAUUUAUUGGGUUUAAAGGGAGCGUAGAUGGGUUGUUACGUAAGUUGUGAAAGUUUGCGACUCAACCGUAAAAUUGCAAUUGAUACUGGCAGUCUUGAGUACAGUUGAGGUAGGCGGAAUUCGUGGUGUAGCGGUGAAAUGCUUAGAUAUCACGAAGAACUCCGAUUGCGAAGGCAGCUUACUAAACUGCCACUGACAUUGAUGCUCGAAAGUGUGGGUAUCAAACAGGAUUAGAUACCCCAGUAGUC